rnacentral:rRNA from 1 species
UACAGAGGUCCCGAGCGUUGUUCGGAUUCACUGGGCGUAAAGGGUGCGUAGGUGGCAUGGUAAGUUUGAUGUGAAAGCUCAGGGCUCAACCCUGAAAUGGCAUUGAAUACUACUGUGCUGGAGGUUUGGAGGGGGGACUGGAAUUCUUGGUGUAGCAGUGAAAUGCGUAGAUAUCAGGAGGAAUACCGGAGGCGAAGGCGGAUAGCUGGGCCAACACUGACGCUGAGACCCGAAAGCGUGGGGAUCAAACAGG